rnacentral:rRNA from 1 species
AUUGAACGCUGGCGGCAGGCCUAACACAUGCAAGUCGAGCGAGGGGCGGACGGGUGAGUAAUGUGUGGGGAUGUGCCAGAGAGAGGGGGAUAACUACUGGAAAGGGUGGCUAAUACCGCAAUCUAUCGGGUGUACCCAUAGGGGAUUAGCUAGUAGGUGGGGUCAAGGCUCAUCUAGGCGACGAUCUCUAGCUGGUCUGAGAGGAUGACCAGCCAAACUGGGAUGGAGACACGGCCCAGACUCCUACGGGAGGCAGCAGUGGGGAAUAUUGCACAAUGGGCGCAAGCCUGAUGCAGCCAUUCCGCGUGAAUUAAGAAGGCCUUAGGGUUGUAAAGUACGUUCAGCGGGGAGGCGUUACCCGCAGAAGAAGCACCGGCUAACUCCGUGCCAGCCGCCGCGGUAAUUC